ACCUCGCCAAUAGCCGAUGGAUGGAUGGACGGAUGGGAUUCGCGAAGUAGGAGCUUGCAGGCAGUUCAAUUAAUAUAACACGUAACCUCUCCUCGGAACACUUCACUUUACCUGAGCUUUCGCCGAAGAACUAAGGGAAAAACUCUCCCGCAACUGCGGCGGUUCUUCCGCGUUUCUAACGUCCGUAAACCUCCAGCCGGCGCGGCCGCAGAGCGGGAACUGGCUUGGCAUCCUCCUCGACCUCGUGCGCGACUCGGAGACGCUUCUCAAAGUUACCCGGCGGGCGCAGAGCGUCGCGACGCGACGCGUCGCGCACCCCCGAUUCAACCCGCCCCGUCACUCGGCUGGGGGAGAAAAGUUUUAACCAAGUUUUUCCCCGGCGCGAUUCCACCCUCCGUCUCUUCCCUACCUUCAACCACCCCCUCCACCAAAGACUACGAAGCUGUGUUAUUACGAGCGGCAUUCCGCUUUCUGAGCUGCGCAAAAUCGGCCCGGAACACGAACGAUGUACAUUCAUCGACUCUCUGGAUUGUACAGCAUUGGUCAUGCAGUCCCGUAAUCGAAAUCUUUACACAAGGAAAGCUUGUGUUUCUGUUUCGAAAUUCACAGACAGCGGUACUCGGAGUAAGAGUCGGCCGCGAGUAUCGAGUAGGUAUAAAAGUAAAAACUAUACGUCGCGGUCAUUCCCCGAUUGAAUGAAUAAUAAUAACGUUGAAACUCAUGCCAACCGGCGGUGACUAGUUUCUGAACUUUGAAUAGAGCCGCGCGACAUGCGGGGAAUUGAUUAGUUUUCCUGCCGUUAUCCACUUAAAUGCCACGAUAAUUAUAGAGAGCUUCUUUGAAAGUUUGCAUCGACACUUGGAACGAAGUUUGCUCGUACUGAUUGAAAUUUGGUACUGGAAAUCAAGUUUCACGGUUAAUAUACAUCCGACCAAACACUGUUUUCACAAAACCGAAAAAGUCUAGUCGAUUUUAUAUUGUAAUGUCCAAAAAAAGGUUUGGCAUCGCAAUCCCGUAGAUUCUGAUGCGAUACGGAUCUAGAUCUAGAUCUAGAUAGGAAUAGAUUUACGAUGUAACAUAUUAUUUGAUAGCGGUAAUCAAUCGGUAACUCUCAUCAUUUCGCGAAGACUGAUCUUUAACCACCGAAUAGAUUUAUUGAACUGUUCAAUACUUUGAUAAUAUCAUUAAAAAGAUAUUGUUUCUUUAAAUUGACGAGAUAAAAUUUCCGAAUUCGUAUUUACAAGUAAACUUCAUGCAAUAGAAUUUUUUCGCGAUUUUAAAACAAUUAUUUCAUUAAUUUUGAUGUUUGCAACAAAAUAUUGUGUUCCCGCGAUGAAAUUCACUGCAAAAUGUGACUUUUUUUUUCUCCCCCGAAUAGAGUUCAUAAUAAUCGAAGAAUCUCGUCGGACGAUUUUAAAAUUCUUUUAUCACGAGUGUAAGGUGAUGCGUAUUAUUACUAUACAUAGGAAAAGAGGAACUUAAGCGUGACUGUAAUUCUUGGACUGUGCAGUUCACCAGGGGAUGAGAAAACAAGCAAUGAAGUAUAAUAUAAGGUAAGGGGGGAGGGGGGGGGGGGGGGGGGGCGGAGAACCUAUCCCCAAAACAACAUCCCUGGACGAAGUUUAACUUGCCAAAGAGCAAUAUGACUACGUUUCUCUUAGACUUGAUUUUAACGAGAAGUUGCCAGCGGUGAAAAAGUUUCCUCGUCGAUGUUAAAAUCGGAAAAAUUUUUCCCUCCGCGUUUUUCCCACAGCGCGAGUCUGUACACAUACAUACAUACAUACAUACACACAUAUAUAUAUAUAUAUAUAUAUCUAUAACGUCGCAUAGGUAUACAAAAGUUUUGUCAAAAACUUUGCGGAUAGAAACAUUACGAGGGGGGAAAAACUUUGAUCUGAAAUUCCGGUCCGAGUUAUCUGUGUACCAAAGUACAUGUAUGUAUAAAUAUACGUAGCUCUGAAAUCAUGAAAAAUAAGUAUGCGACCAACUGACUGACUGUAUUGAUAUAUUUUUUAGCGAUUGAUAGACAGUUUCCAAUCCAAAGUCGCUUCGUCGAUAAAACGGACAAUUUAGGUUAAAAUCUAUCGUCUGUAAUCGAUGUAUUACGACAAUGUUACGUCACACGGUACACAGAACUUUUCGUUCUAUCGUUUCCACCGGGGGCGAAAAGUCCUGCUGACUGUGUAAGGGGAGAGAAAGUAGCAAAAACAUAAAAAGGAUAAAAUAAAAAAAAAAAAAAAAAAAAAAAAAAUUUCAAAGGACAUCGAGGACCGGGCUAAUUAAUUGUAAUGAAAAUUGGUAAAACUUUUAGGCAUUCGCGUGGCGAGGCUUAUUGUUCUGCACGUUGCGUUAUAAUAUAUGAUGCGGGAAAAGAGCGACGAGAAGUUGAAUUAAAGAGGGGCGCGUAAAAUACGGUUGUGAAAAAUAAUAAAUUCCACUUGUUACGUCGACGACGGCGGCGUCGCCCGGUUGCCAGGGCAAUGAAUCGCGGAUUGAUGCAGAACUUCACGCCGGGAUUACCGAGCACCCCCAACAACCCGGGAAUUAUACGUGGAAUAUCUCUUUCACGUCCCAUGUCCGCAAAUCGAGGAAUAGAUCCCCUUCAGCUACGAAAGGAUAGAUUAUUAUACAACUAUUCCAAAGAGGUAUUAACGCAAUUUUAUUUUGUUUUUCCGUGGACGCAAAUGUUCGCGCAUGUAUAACGAACAUUGAGGGUGGAUUUUGGUGGGGAAAAAUUGGCGAGUAAUCGGUAAUUACUGCAUGCCCGUUAUUAAUUAUUCGUUUACUUUAGAUCGGAUUUUUAUACUAUUUUCGCAUCGGAACCGAUGUUAUGUAUUUAUUUAUAAUCGGUGGAUUAUUCCAUUUAUAUUUUAAUUUCGCUAAUGGUCGCGAACUGUACGUGAAUACGGGAAUAAUAAAGGCUUCGCUUAAUUCCUGCUGUCUGCAAGUCAUCGCUCCUCGCCACCGCUAGACACCAACAUUUUCAUUAACCAACCGUCCCAAUUCCCCUCGAACGAGAGAAUAUUUUCCUCUCAGCCUACUUUGUCAGGCCGUUGAAAACGGCGAAAAGAAGUGAACAAUUCGGAGCAACGGAGAAGAGAAAAAAAAGAGGAAAAUUUUGAUUUUCACAUCUGUUAAUUUCUAGAUCAAACGCAUUGGGAAAUAAUUAUCGAAGCCUGAGCGAUGAAGAUAAUAAUCACCGAAUAUUGCAAAGAAAAUGAGAACUGAAAAACGGGAUGACGUAUAUAAUUCGUUCUAAAUCUUGAAUCGCGUGUGCCCCGAUAAAAUCUUUCAAUCAUACUCCCAUUAGGAUAAUAAUUAGCGAGAGGAUAAAGGAUUUUCAAUUUUUGAUUGAAUUCAGCGUUUGUGGGUUAUAGAAUUAAUUCGGAGUCCCGUAUAAUUCCGUUAAUUAUUAGUGACACUCGAGUUACAUAAUUUGACAAAAAGCACGCUCUCGCCAAAAGCCAAUUAACCGGCAAGGCUCGAAUUCCGUUUCUCUUUUUGCUCGCUCGACGCGAUCAGAGACUCGGCGAGUGUAAUGGAGGGAGAGACGGACGGACGGGCCGCAAGUUUUCCGAAGAAAAAUCCGUCGCGUGACGUCGCACGGAUGAGAUCCUGAACAAGGUGGAACUGCCGGGAA
rnacentral:lncRNA from 1 species